rnacentral:ribozyme from 12 species
UUUUUUUUUUUUGAGGAUGAACUGAUGACUUAAAUAGAAAUUAGAAUCAAAUAAAUGUUCAAUCUUCUAGACUGUGAGCUUCUCAGCUGAAUCAACAAGCGAGCAGUAGCAGCCUUCACUCUUCGACACUUCAAAAGGAACCAACGACAGACAGUAUUGAAGAGAAAUCAACUUAUCGAGAUAAAUAUCUUACAUCUCUCCAACAACUGGGAGG